CAAAGGGUAUCUAUAGAACUUUUCUAAACAAUGAUGAUGAAGAGGUUUGUGGAAUCAAAUCUUUGUAAUAAUUGAUCUUUUAUUGUUUGUUAAAUUUGUCUAGGUGCCAAAGUACAAGAUUUCUACAAACUAUUUCUUGCUCCAUUAUGUUCAGCUUUGGUGAUAAGUCUUCUUGUAAUAUCCUGCCUCAUUUAUAAAAUUAAGAAGAAAACAUGCGGUUGUUGCAACGAUCCUGUACCAUCAAUAAGCAAUAACCAAAGUCAUCAGAGGGAAGAGAACAGUUUGGUUUAUUCUGCACCAGCGUUCAACAGGAAUAAAGCUAACAAAGGCGAAAGAAGAAAUGUAAAAACUGCGCUGGAGGA